AGAGGAGGCGAGGCAGUUGCGGGCGCAAGCCUGAGGAAAGUCCGGUCUCCCGAACGACCACACCUGCUGGAUAACGUCCAGUGCGAGCGAUCGUGAGGAUAGUGCCACAGAAACAUACCGCCUUCGGGUAAGGGUGCAAAGGUGCGGUAAGAGCGCACCAGCAGCAUCGAGAGGUGCUGGCUCGGUAAACCCCGGUGGGGAGUAAGGUCGAAGGAACAAGGGUUGGUCGUUUUCCCGUUCCGAGCAGGAAGCAAUUCCUGUGCAUCCGCUAGAGACAUUUGGUAACAGAUGUUCGAGAUAGAUAACUGCCCUGGCAUGGGGCAACUCAAUGUCAGAACAGAACCCGGCUUAUGUCCGCCUCUUUCC
rnacentral:RNase_P_RNA from 1 species